UUUUGAUUGAUACUAGUACUUCACAUUCAUUUGUCUCACAUGCUUUUACACCAAAUUUGAAUGUAUUAGCUGAAAGACUUGAUUUUAUAUUGUUUGUGUCUACUCUGAGUGUAGGACACUAUUAGGGGAAGUUAUAUACAAAGCUUGAAUCAUAGAUAUACCAGAUAGAAAAUUGAGUGUGGACCUAAUAGAGAUUGACACGGGGAACUUUGAUGUAAUCCUAGGAAUGAACUAGCUAACGGCAUAUCACGCCACCGUAGAUUAUUUUCACUAGAAACUUGUAUUUAACCU
rnacentral:lncRNA from 1 species